UGUCACCAUGGAAAUAUGAGAAAAAAGGUGAACUGGCAAAGUGAAACUGUCAAAGACGCAGUUCUGAAAAUAAACCGAAAUACACCAUAAAAUCGAUAAGGGUUAAACGCCCUGAAUUCAUUCCUAAUACUGCAUACCCCAGGUUACCACAGUAACACCUCAGACCUCACACGCACAUUCAAGCAUGCUGAGACUGCACUGCAACUGCAGAAGUCUCUAAGGUCAGUGUGCUGUUGUCACAAACAAGCACUGCGGAGCACCUAACGAGGACCUAUCCUCUCCGCUCGGCUUCUGUGUAUUGAUUUUCACACUUAAUAUAAUCCGGUGGUCCUUUCCGCACACAAUCUCAACACAUGGACUCCUCAAGGACUCAUGGGAAAGGAUAUUGAUGGUCUUUAUACAUUGUGGACGGGGAUUGCCCGCCCCGUUACUCGCAGAUGCGGGGCUCCACCCCCCCACGCUGACAACGAUCAAUCGGGCCAACCAGGGCAGAGAGUUCCGGAGAGGUUAAGUAAUAGAGUGCAGGAUAUCACAUCCAUUUAAUGUCUGACACUGAACUGUGGGAAGGUGGAGACCUGGCAUAGCUAUUGCAUAUCAGAAUCCUUUUUACAUGCUGUUAUUAAGAACAAAUACUGUGCAGACUAAUCUAAGUUCUGUAUCAUCCAACCACAACAGCGACAAGCGAUACAAUACACUGUCAGUAAUUUGGUUUUCUCGCUCUUCUUGUAUAUUAAACCUCAUACAUGGAGGAGAAGAGAUUGAUUGUGGAAGUUCAUAAACAUUGGAUAAACCUUUUAAGUUCCAUAAGGAAAGAUACAAAAUGGGUGUUUUGAAAAUAUACUAUGUGUCGUGUUUUAAAGAUGCUGUUCUGAAAAUAAAAAGAAACUCAUUACUCCAA